GCUGUGUAUAUCGAUGAGGACUCAGUGAAGAAAUGAAAUGGUGUUUUAAGGAAAAUGGGAGUUCAUACAGGAGAGCAGAUGCCAACUAAAAGUGGACAGUAGAUUUCCGAAAUGACUCCCUCCCCAGGAAAAUGAAGCUACUACCUCCUUGACCUCCACCAGUUCUAUGAUGCCAAGACACACCCUGUAGCUGUGACCUGAGAAGAGAAAGGCAGAAUCAGUAAGUAACAGCAACAUGGAAGAAAGUCUGUCACAUAUGGAAUACUUUUUAACUAUUUAAUGCAGAUGAAAUGUAAUUUUUCAUCUCUCCAGCAACUUUGUCGUUUAUCUGAAAAUGACUUUUUUGACCUACUGAUGCUACUUAAUCAUUUCUACUACAGAAAAUCCUACCUAGAAGAGCUGGCAUUAACUUUGGAACAAAAGAGCCCUAAUGCACUCAAGGGUGAAAUCUUUUAUUAUUACUACUCAGUUCUCAAGGAUCCAUGAUGUCCUCAGCAGGUGCAAUCUUGCCCUGGGGCAACACAGCAUCAGGGACGCUUAAGACCUCAGCUGUGACCACACACACGGAGUUACGUUUCUGCAUACCAUAGCUGACUUGCACAGCAAGAUAUAGGUGUCAGACAAGGCCUAAUCACAAUUUAAUUAUGGAAUGAUUUCCCCCAAAAUUAUAUAGAAUGGCCCUUGGCAAUAUAACAUAAAUUGAUCAUUUUCACCCUCUCAUUAAUUCCCCUCCGUCCUUUCUUCUCUGAUCCCCCAUUUUAAUAAUCUAUUUUGGGGCUGGGGAUUUAGCUCAGCGGCACAGUGCCUGCCUGGCAAACGCAAGGUUGUGAGUUCAAUUCCCGGUACGGGAAAAAAAAAACAAAAAAGAUUAAAAAAAAAUCUAUUUUGUAUUUUCAUGUUAUCUUUUAAAAUUAAUUUCUUUAGCUUUUUA
rnacentral:lncRNA from 1 species